rnacentral:rRNA from 1 species
UUUGUAGAAUGAACCGGCGAGUUACGAUUUGUUGCAAGGUUAAGCGGAAAAAGCGGAGCCGUAGCGAAAGCGAGUCUGAAUAGGGCGCAUAAGUAACAGGUCGUAGACCCGAAACCAGGUGAUCUACCCAUGUCCAGGAUGAAGGUAAGGUAAUACUUACUGGAGGUCCGAACCCACGCACGUUGAAAAGUGCGGGGAUGAGGUGUGGGUAGCGGAGAAAUUCCAAUCGAACUUGGAGAUAGCUGGUUCUCUCCGAAAUAGCUUUAGGGCUAGCCUCGAGGUAAAGAGUCAUGGAGGUAGAGCACUGUUUGGACUAGGGGCCCUUCUCGG